AUCGCAAUGCCCGAAUUUAAGCUCUAUCUAUUGACUCACGUCUGGCCCGGAUUGCUGCGCGCGCUGAUUAAGCUUUAUGCGGCCUGUAAAAAUAAGAGAGAUAAAAACUGAAGCAGCCGAAGCAGCUCCACUCACCUAGCACGAUUACAACGACGCUCGCCCGCGACCAUCCAUUAAAUACCCAAAUGGCCAAUACGAUUACACUUUACUCUAACCAGCCGCCAGCUACGAUUCGAGCCGCGCGAUCAACGUCACGGCCUCAAUUAGUCAAUAGACUAAAGCCCCCUUCCCUUAUCCCGCUUAUAGCUUCGUUCCCGCUCCCGCCUAAACAGCUGCUCCGCACGCUCCCUUCGGCCGGGGACACGAUUAAGACGCCGAGUGCCUGCCGAGCGGCGGGGCCGUGUGCUUUUGGUUCGUCUGCGUCUGCCAUGUUGGCUGACAUUUUUUUCAAACACGCUCUCAAUAUACACUUGCCCGACAGGUAUAUGCACUAUUAUAUAAAUUGCAUUUUAAACCAAAUUGAAAAUCUAAAUUUUCUAUUAAUUUGAACAAAUUUUUGUCACUUUUUUUCAGACACUCAAAUUGUGAGUUCUCUCGCCUGCUCUACGUCUAGGCUCAAUUUCCACCGAGGAAGCUUGGAUUCGGCGAAAUGUGUGAAACACGCCUCAAAUGAUUUUUCGUGUAGAUUUUUGGAAAUAAAUUCGAACACGAAAUGUCACCCAACAAAUCUUUAACCGGCCAUUUCCAACAAGGAGGAGCGCAUAUUCCAGCAGACAAAUUUGGACAAAAUUCUUUGAAAAUGUUCUUGAGGCCGAUCGGAUGGUAA
rnacentral:sRNA from 1 species